AGCGAACGCUGGCGGCAGGCUUAACACAUGCAAGUCGAACGCCCGGGCAACCGGGAGUGGCAGACGGGUGAGUAACGCGUGGGAACGUGCCCUUUGGUUCGGAAUAACUCAGGGAAACUUGAGCUAAUACCGGAUAAGCCCUACGGGGGAAAGAUUUAUCGCCGAAGGAUCGGCCCGCGUCCGAUUAGCUAGUUGGUGAGGUAACGGCUCACCAAGGCGACGAUCGGUAGCUGGUCUGAGAGGAUGAUCAGCCACACUGGGACUGAGACACGGCCCAGACUCCUACGGGAGGCAGCAGUGGGGAAUAUUGGACAAUGGGGGCAACCCUGAUCCAGCCAUGCCGCGUGAGUGAUGAAGGCCCUAGGGUUGUGAAGCUCUUUCGGCGGGGACGAUAAUGACGGUACCCGCAGAAGAAGCCCCGGCUAACUUCGUGCCAGCCGCCGCCGUAACAC
rnacentral:rRNA from 1 species